UUGAACGCUGGCGGCAUGCUUUACACAUGCAAGUCGAACGGUAGCAGGCCUUCGGGUGCUGACGAGUGGCGAACGGGUGAGUAAUGCAUCGGAACGUGCCCAAUCGUGGGGGAUAACGUAGCGAAAGUUACGCUAAUACCGCAUACGCCCUGAGGGGGAAAGUGGGGGACCGCAAGGCCUCACGCGAAUGGAGCGGCCGAUGUCGGAUUAGCUAGUUGGUGGGGUAAAGGCCUACCAAGGCGACGAUCCGUAGCGGGUCUGAGAGGAUGAUCCGCCACACUGGGACUGAGACACGGCCCAGACUCCUACGGGAGGCAGCAGUGGGGAAUUUUGGACAAUGGGGGCAACCCUGAUCCAGCCAUGCCGCGUGAGUGAAGAAGGCCUUCGGGUUGUAAAGCUCUUUCAGACGGAAAGAAAACGCAUCGGUGAAUACCCGGUGUGGAUGACGGUACCGUAAGAAGAAGCACCGGCUAACUACGU
rnacentral:rRNA from 1 species